GUUAGUCUUUGUCAGAAAGGUGGACAGUAAUAAAGCAGUAAUAUUUUAGUGAUGAGAUUUUAGAAUUAAUAUAUGGAGACUAUACUGAGAUUAAUCAAGAGUUGUAAAUAAAGUAUUAAGUAAGAAAUAAAUAAAACUGUUUUUGUACUUAUAGGGAUUUUUCUUGCCGUGAUUUAAUAAAAGUAACAUUUUAACACUUGGCACCCACAGCUGGUUUUCUAAUUUGUGGAUUUUUGUACUAGGGGUUUACAACUUGUUUGAAAGUGUUGGAUGAUGUAAAAAC